CAGAUAUGAGCACUCCGACUUCCUUAUCUCAGAUCUACUCUGCACAACCCAGGGCACAUGAAUGUGCUUCAAUUUGUACCUACCCAGGAGGAAGUGUGACAAGCCUGAAAGCUGGCCACAAGUCUUUCCAAACAAAUACUUCCCAACAUGUCAACAUAGCCUACAACAUGACAGAGCCAAGGACAGUGAAGAUUUUGAGCACUGCUGACUUUCUCAGUUGUUCCUGACUGUAUGGGGUCAGAUACCAUGCCAAGUGUGGAGAUGCCAGAGUGGCUAAGAUGGCUAUAGUCUUUGCCACGACACUGGGGGAACGAGUGUGCACAGAGCACUACUGGUAGGGUCCUUGCAGUCCCUGGGUGGGCGGUGAGGUCCUGAACCAGAAUACGCCUUC